GAUGAAGAACGCAGCAAAAUGCGAUAAGUAAUGUGAAUUGCAGAAUUCAGUGAAUCAUCGAAUCUUUGAACGCACAUUGCGCCCGCCAGUAUUCUGGCGGGCAUGCCUGUUCGAGCGUCAUUUCAACCCUCAAGCACAGCUUGGUGUUGGGACUCGCGUUAAUUCGCGUUCCCCAAAUUGAUUGGCGGUCACGUCGAGCUUCCAUAGCGUAGUAGUAAAACCCUCGUUACUGGUAAUCGUCGCGGCCACGCCGUUAAACCCCCAACUUCUGAACGUUUGACCUCGGAUCAGGUAGGAAUACCCGCUGAACUUAAGCAUAUCAAUAAGCGGAGGA
rnacentral:misc_RNA from 1 species